AUUUUUUGGAUCUUCAUUCACUUUUGGGAAUAGCGUUAUCUGAUUUAUUUAUUUGCAUCUGGUUUUGUUUUAUAGUCAUUACUAGGAGUUAUUAUUUUGUCUUGCUUAAAUUAUUUUUACUGGCAAUUUUUAUAUAAUUGUUACUGCAAUUUGCAAAUGAGGACUAUUAGUUAAGAUGUAAAGCACAGAUUAUCUGAAGCCAUCUUUUGGCAUCCAAAAAAGUUACUGCUGUCUCCUGAUAUUACGAGAAAUAAAUGAUGUGUGCACUAAUUAUUUGUUUUAUUUUUCUCUAAUACUAUCUGGGAUUAGAUGUUAUCAUCUUAUCACACGCAUUACAAAGUACACAAUGAAUACACACGCUCACACGCUGUUCAUUUUUUGAGAGAGAGAGGUUGACGACAUAUUAGAUUGUAAAAUUAGAAAAAGAAAGGCUGGGGUAGGGAAAUAAACAAGAAAGAGGUGUGACUUGCUGAAGCUGCUUCACUGCUAGUGUUUACGCUAUCUGUAGUGUAAGGAGGUGUAAUUGCAUUUUGAUUGAGUGUGACUUGCUAAUAAUAAUAUUGGUGCAUCAACUAUGCUUCACAUAGAUGAUAGGCUUGUAGAUGAGAAUAAGGUAUGUGGCUUCUUGAGUGUUGUAAUCUGGUAAUCGUGUUGUAGACUUGUAAUCAUUAACCAUGCUGCGCAAGUGUGCAUAUAUGAUGUGUCUGUGGCUAUGAAUCUUGCAGUUUAUUGAACUACUUACCAUGGGGAAAACUAUGGGUGUGAAACUUUGACUUACCGCCAUCUUCCGUUUUAUUGUUAGAUAUUUCUUAUUUUUCUUCCUAUUUUACUUUCCUUUUCGCGAACGAUCUCUGCUGUGAUCCUAUGUUGCAGUGCUAUUAGAUGCUACUACUGUUCUUCUAUGAUCUCUCCACCUUCCCCCCUUUUCUGCAUGCUAUUAAUUUUGUGCCA
rnacentral:misc_RNA from 1 species